UCCAGACUCCUACGGGAGGCAGCAGUGAGGAAUAUUGGUCAAUGGGCGGGAGCCUGAACCAGCCAAGUCGCGUGAGGGAAGGCGGUCCUAUGGAUUGUAAACCUCUUUAGGCGGGGAGCAAUGCCGGGCACGCGUGCCCGGAGGGAGAGUACCCGCAGAAUAAGCAUCGGCUAACUCCGUGCCAGCAGCCGCGGUAAUACGGAGGAUGCGAGCGUUAUCCGGAUUUAUUGGGUUUAAAGGGUGCGUAGGUUGUUUUAUAAGUUAGCGGUGAAAUACCGAUGCUCAACAUCGGGGCUGCCGCUAAUACUGUAGGACUAGAGAUCGGAUGCAGCAGGCGGAAUGUGUAGUGUAGCGGUGAAAUGCGUAGAUAUUACACAGAACACCGAUUGCGAAGGCAGCUUGCUAGGCCGGAUCUGACACUGAUGCACGAAAGCGUGGGGAUCGAACAGGAUUAGAUACCCGAGUAC
rnacentral:rRNA from 1 species